rnacentral:rRNA from 1 species
GACGAACGCUGGCGGCGUGCUUAACACAUGCAAGUCGAACGGAAAGGCCCUGCUUUUGUGGGGUGCUCGAGUGGCGAACGGGUGAGUAACACGUGAGUAACCUGCCCUUGUCUUUGGGAUAACUUCAGGUAACUGGGGCUAAUAUCGGAUAGGAGCUCCUGCUGCAUGGUGGGGGUUGGAACGUUUCGGCGGUUGGGGAUGGACUAGCGGCUUUUCAGCUUGUUGGUGGGGUAGUGGCUUACCAAGGCUUUGACGGGUAGCCGGCAUGGGAGGGUGGCCGGCCACAAGGGGACUGAGAGACGGACCAGACUCCAACGGGAGGCAACGGGGGCGAGUAUUACACAGUGAGCGGAAGCCUGUUACGGCGACGCCGCGGGCGGGAUGACGGCCUUCGGGUUGUGAACCGCUUUCGCCUGUGACGAAGCGGGAGUGACGGUAAUGGGUAAAGAAGCACCGGCUAACUACGUG